GGACAUCAUUACACAGAGGCCGAUAAAGGAUUAUAUAAACCAUAACAAUUAAAAAAAAAAAAAAAAGCCAGCCUUGCAACCUUGAAAUAUUUCUGUAAGUCAUCAGAGAAUGGCAGGGACCUGCUAUCUCUGAAGGUCUUUACCUCGAACUUGUUUUGUAACAUGCCUACUGGUCUGCAGGGAGAAUGCGUUGGAAGCCAUUAUGCUACGGUAGCUGAGGACUCAGUGCAGGUGAAGCUUCCGCCUGAAAGAUGAGCUAAAGCCAGAGGGAAAUUCCAUCCAGGACCGCACAUGUGACUCGUUCCAAGAGCUCUCAAGACAGUGGAUGAAGAAGGAGACGUAGAGAAGCCGAAGGCCCUGCUUAGACCUCCAUGAAGAGAGACUUUGCACCCAGGUGGUUCUGCCUAGACCUUCAACGAAGCUCACUUGGGUUUGAAGAUGAAUGCCAAUGGAGACAUACCUGUUGAUUAUCAACUUUGUGGCAAAGCAUCCUGGUUUGAUAGCAGUAAAAGUCGGUUCCUUCCGAAACUCACAGUCAUAAA
rnacentral:lncRNA from 1 species